GGUCAAGUGAAGAAGCGCAUACGGUGGAUGCCUUGGCAGUCAGAGGCGAUGAAAGACGUGGUAGCCUGCGAAAAGCUUCGGGGAGUCGGCAAACAGACUUUGAUCCGGAGAUGUCUGAAUGGGGGAACCCAGCCAUCAUAAGAUGGUUACCUUACACUGAAUACAUAGGUGUAAGGGGCGAACCAGGGGAACUGAAACAUCUAAGUACCCUGAGGAAAAGAAAUCAACCGAGAUUCCCUUAGUAGUGGCGAGCGAACGGGGACUAGCCCUUAAGUGGCUUUGAGAUUAGCGGAACGCUCUGGAAAGUGCGGCCAUAGUGGGUGAUAGCCCUGUACGCGAAAAUCUCUUAGUCAUGAAAUCGAGUAGGACGGAGCACGAGAAACUUUGUCUGAAUAUGGGGGGACCAUCCUCCAAGGCUAAAUACUACUGACUGACCGAUAGUGAACUAGUACCGUGAGGGAAAGGCGAAAAGAACCCCGGAGAGGGGAGUGAAAUAGAUCCUGAAACCGUAUGCGUACAAGCAGUGGGAGCCCACUUUGUUGGGUGACUGCGUACCUUUUGUAUAAUGGGUCAGCGACUUAUUUUCAGUGGCGAGCUUAACCGAAUAGGGGAGGCGUAGCGAAAGCGAGUCUUAAUAGGGCGUCUAGUCGCUGGGAAUAGACCCGAAACCGGGCGAUCUAUCCAUGGGCAGGUUGAAGGUUGGGUAACACUAACUGGAGGACCGAACCGACUACCGUUGAAAAGUUAGCGGAUGACCUGUGGAUCGGAGUGAAAGGCUAAUCAAGCUCGGAGAUAGCUGGUUCUCCUCGAAAGCUAUUUAGGUAGCGCCUCAUGUAUCACUGUAGGGGGUAGAGCACUGUUUCGGCUAGGGGGUCAUCCCGACUUACCAAACCGAUGCAAACUCCGAAUACCUACAAGUGCCGAGCAUGGGAGACACACGGCGGGUGCUAACGUCCGUCGUGAAAAGGGAAACAACCCAGACCGUCAGCUAAGGUCCCAAAGUUAUGGUUAAGUGGGAAACGAUGUGGGAAGGCUUAGACAGCUAGGAGGUUGGCUUAGAAGCAGCCACCCUUUAAAGAAAGCGUAAUAGCUCACU
rnacentral:ncRNA from 1 species